CGUAGACGGUAUGUUAAGUUCGUUGUUAAAGGCUCCGGCCUAACCGGAGUACCGCAAUGAAAACUGGCGUGCUAGAGGGUGAGAGAGAGAAGUGGAAUUCCCGGAGUAGCGGUAAAAUGCGUGGAUCUCGGGAGGAACACCAAUGGCGAAGGCAGCUUCUUGGCUCAUUCCUGACGUUGAGGCACGAAAGCGUGGGGAGCAAAACA
rnacentral:rRNA from 1 species